rnacentral:rRNA from 1 species
GCAUAUCAAUAAGCGGAGGAAAAGAAAAUAACAAUGAUUUCCCUAGUAACGGCGAGUGAAGAGGAAAGAGCUCAAAGUUGGAACCUGUUUGGCUUAGCUAAACCGGAUUGUAAACUGUAGAAGUGUUUUCCAGACACGCCUGGUAAAAAAGUCCUUUGGAACAGGGCAUCAUAGAGGGUGAGAAUCCCGUCAUUGGCCAGAGCUGUUGUCUUUUGUGAUACAUUUUCAAAGAGUCAGGUUGUUUGGGAAUGCAGCCUAAAUUGGGUGGUAAAUCUCACCUAAAGCUAAAUAUUUGCGAGAGACCGAUAGCGAACAAGUACCGUGAGGGAAAGAUGAAAAGAACUUUGAAAAGAGAGUUAAACAGUAUGUGAAAUUGUUAAAAGGGAACCGUUUGGAGCCAGACUGGCUUAACUGUAAUCAAUCUAGGCUUUGGCCUGGAUGCACUUGCGGUUUAUGCCGGCCAACGACAGUUUUGUUUGAGGGAAAAAAUUACAUUGAAUGUGGCCCUUCGGGGUGUUAUAGCUUUGUAAAAAAUACCUUGGACUGGACUGAGGAACGCAGUGAAUGCCUUUAGGCAAGAUUGCUGGGUGCUUUCGCUAAUAAAUGCUAGAAUUUCUGCUUCGGGUGGUGCUAGUGUUUAAAGGAGGAACUCGCUUAGUAUAUUUUUUAUUCGCUUAGGUUGUUGGCUUAAUGACUCUAAAUGACCCGUCUUGAAACACGGACCAAGGAGUCCACCAUAAGUGCGAGUAUUUGGGUGACAAACCCAUAUGCGCAAGGAAACUGAUUGAUACGAAGGCUUUAAGCUGGCAGUAUCACCCGGCGUUGACGUUUUAUACUGAACUGACCGAGGUAAAGCACUUAUGAUGGGACCCGAAAGAUGGUGAACUAUGCCUGAAUAGGGUGAAGCCGGAGGAAACUCCGGUGGAGGCUCGUAGCGAUUCUGACGUGCAAAUCGAUCGUCAAAUUUGGGUAUAGGGGCGAAAGACUAAUCGAACCAUCUAGUAGCUGGUUCCUGCCGA